rnacentral:rRNA from 1 species
UACGAAGGGGGCUAGCGUUGCUCGGAAUUACUGGGCGUAAAGCGCACGUAGGCGGCUUACUAAGUCGGGGGUGAAAUCCUGGAGCUCAACUCCAGAACUGCCUUCGAUACUGGAGAGCUCGAGUCCGGGAGAGGUGAGUGGAACUGCGAGUGUAGAGGUGAAAUUCGUAGAUAUUCGCAAGAACACCAGUGGCGAAGGCGGCUCACUGGCCCGGUACUGACGCUGAGGCGCGAAAGCGUGGGGAGCAAACAGG